CAACAGCUGAGAAAGCAGACAGACCAUCACCCAUCUCAACAAUGAAGUCAGCAGCUCUCCUCGUACUUCUGGCUGUCCUGCUCUUCGUAGAUGUGAGAGGGCAACUGGAUUCUCGGGGAAGAUGCAAGUGCCAGGGUGCAGGGGCCAAAGCCAUCCGCCCAAACCGCAUUGAGAGGCUAGAGGUGUUACCCCCUUCCUCGGCAUGCCCCAAUCUGGAAAUCAUUGUCACUCUGAAGGAUAAUGGAGGACAAAAGUGUCUGGAUC